rnacentral:lncRNA from 1 species
AGGGCAAGAAAGACUGGGCCUUCCAACCCUGCCGAUUCGAGGGAAAAUAUUUGUGUUCUAUUUCUUCAUGGUAAAGAACAGAAAAAAAAAAUCACUACACAGCUCUAGAAAAGUCUUUAGAAAAGAGAGUAGUUCGACAGUACAUGUCAGAUAAGUUUAUAAGCUAGUGAUUUUCCUACUAAGAAUGUAACUUGAGUGAGAAGGAAAGCUGGUGAGAGCAGAUAAAAAAGGGCCAGCCAGAUGUCCAAGGCCAGAUAGUCCCCUUGCUUGCUUUUGGCUUCUGUAAUCUUGCUUGCCCCCACAUCAGUCAGCAGCCAGGAACCGGAAGACUGAUUGUACUAGUCCCACCCAACCCAGAAACGCUUAGGUAUAAAGGAUCAGUAAAAUCCGAGCCGGGUGCUCAGCUUUUGGAGGUGACUCCGCUGGGACGGCACCGGUGCGAAAUAGUCUUUUUUAAUUCCCUGAGUGUGUGUCGCUUGUCUUUUCCUCGACUAUUUGCUGUAAUAUUUUUGGUGCAUUGGCCAGGAAGCCGACAGCCGUGCUGGCCCCUUGAGUCACCACUGUGGGAGGCCACGGAAAGCCCACUCAUCGCGGGGCCCUGUGAUAAAGGAAGGUACGCCACCACCUUGACCGCGACCCUCACCAGGCCCGACAGUAGUCAGCCGCCGCUGUUUUCAGACGGACUCCAGGGGAGUCAGAAAAUUCUGCCAGGACGGGACAUCGGAUCGGGUGAGUGUCCCCGAGGACCCAGCACCGAGUUCAGGCCCGCCCUAGGACAGGGAAGUCCCAGGUGGAAGUCUGUAAUCUGUCUGAAUGUGUGUGUGAGUGCUACACGGUCUCGGCCAAGGAGCCUGAGUGGGUCCUACCCUGUGAUUCCUUGACAGCCUCAUACGGCUCAAGGCAGAAUCAGGUCCGCCGAGGCCUGAUCUGAGUCGGGUUUAUACUGACCUGCCAAUGUUAAGAGGCAUCUGAGUACCUUCGAGGAGAGCGGCCAGGUGGACGAAGCGACCCCUUCCCUCGUGUUUGUCCUGCGACACCGCACAUUGGGAAGGACCCAUCUGGGAUACCAGGAUGGGGGGGGGGGGUUCCUCAAAACCAACUGUUUUGGAAUGUGUGAUAAGAAUUUUAAAAAGGGAUUUUCAGGUGACUGUGGGGCCAGAUUGACCCCCGGGAAAUUACGAACCCUCUCUGAAUUAGAAUGGCCUGCGUUUGGUGUAGGCUGGCCCCCUGAGGGCACCCUAGAUGUCCCCCCAGGCUGAGCUGUUUAUAAAGUAGUUACUUGAGACCCCGGCCACCUGGAUCAAUUCCCAUACAUCGAUCAGUGGCUGGAAAUAGCCCAAGUCAAGCCUCCUUGGGUUCAGUAAAGGACAGUGUAGGGUCUUAGUGGCACGGGCUGAGAAGACCUCACAACAGAAAAAAACGCCCCCGUCCUCGAAGAAAAUUUAGACAUCCUUCCUUUUCUGCCACCCUAUGCCCCCAGAGUCCCAUCAGUCGAGGGAGGGGAACCUCGCCUGGCUGACAGUCCACUCCCAUCGGUCUCACCCCCGCCAGCAGUCAGCCCGCCCCCACCAGGGAUACCUGAACCAGUAGGAAGGUGCCGUAGGUCCACGGCUCAGGGUCCAAGGCCCCGAUGGCAAUGCAGAUGCCAUUGCAGGAGACGGGUCCGCAGAGAAUAGGCCCCGAUGGGACCCUUUCUACUACCAACGGUUCUCCACUACUGACCUCCUCACCGGGAAACACCACACUCGCCCAACUCUGAGAGGCCGCAGGCGAUGAUCUUCUAGAGUCCAUAUUCCAGACUCAACGCCCUGCCUGGGUCAACUGUAAGCAGCUUCUGCGUCCCCUUUUCAACACAGGAGAGCGCCAGCGAAUUGUCACCGAAGCCAGAAGAUGGCUCCCGAGUCAAGCACCAGAUGGACAACUAGACGUUGAGGCUUAGGCACGGGAGGCUGUGCCCAAAGAGGAACACAGAAGUGGGAAGGGCCAGACUAGAAAGAUACCGACUGGCCUUCCUCCAAGGGGUAAAAGCAGGGACCAGACAGCCUGCCAACGUGGCAAAAGUAUCUGAGGUGUGUCAAAAGCCAGAAGAGAGUCCGGCUGACUUCUGUGAAAAUUACGUGAAGCCUUCAGAGUUUACACUCCAUCGACCCAGAAGCCCUCAAAAACCAGCACAUGGUCACUGCUGCCUUUGUGGGAUAGCCCCAUAGUGACAUUAGACAGAGGCUCCAAAAAUUGGAAGGAUUUGGUGGAAAGAACGCCACCGAACUAUUGGAAAUCGCCAACAAGGUUUUUGUAAAUUGGGGCCAAGCUGCCAGAAAGGAGGCGGACAGCAGAGUGAAACGGAAGGCAGCUCUCCUGGCCGCGGCCUCGGGGCGACCACCCCCUGUGGAAGGGCACGGAAACCACAAGGGGCUCGAGAACAAAAAAGAAGGGCGCCGCUGGGAUGGGGUCAACGUGUCCGCUGCAAGGAAUGCGGACCCUGGAAAAAUGAAUGGCCCAGCCGCCAAAAAGGGAAACCAAAAGCUUCUACUCCACCGAGAUGCUACCAACCAGAACCACCCGAGGCCGACCUGAUCGGUGUCCAGCUGGGCCCCCAUGAGCCCAUGGUCAAAAUGAAGGCGGGGGGCCAGACAAUAGACUUCAUGGUCGACACGGGGGCCGAACACUCUGCGGUGACACACAGGGUGGCACCUCUGUCGGGUCGAGAAGUCACCAUCGUAGGAGCCACUGGGAUGCAAACCUGAAGGCCAUUUUGCCGUCCCUGACAGUGACCUGGGAGGUCACCAAGUAGUUCACGAAUUCCUGUAUCUACCUGACUGCGCACUGUCACUGUUAGGUAGAGACCCCCUAGCCAAGAUGGGCGCUCAAAUAGCCUUCACCUUGGAUGCACGGACACAACAGCACCUAAAUGAAAAGGCCCAACCCAUGGUUUUGUCCCUGACGAUUCCACGGGAAGAGGAAUGGAGAUUAUAUACUUCCCCUCUCGGUGAGCCAACUGUGGCCCCCGAGCUAGAAGCUGAAUUCCCUUCAGUUUGGGCAGAAGGGACCCCCCUCUCAUCUGCAAAAAGCCCCCCCCCCCCCAAUAUUAAUUGACCUAAAGCCUGGGGCCCAGCCUGUCAAAAUAUGCCCAUACGUGAUCUCAUGGGAGGCUCACCCGGGGAUCCAGACGCUCUUGGACAGGCUCUGGUAAAACGAUGCCAGUCCCCGUGGAAUACCCCCUGCUGCCCGUGAAGAAGCCGGGGACAGAUGAUCACCGCCCCGUGCAGGACCUAAGAGCCGUAAAUGGAGCAGUCGUCAGGCUGCAUUCAGCAUUGCCCAACCCGUACGCUCUGCUAGGACUCAUACCCUCUGAGGCAGGGUGUUUCACGUGUCUAGAUUUAAAGGACACCUUCUUCUGUCCCCAGCUAGCGCCUAAUAGCCACCCCCUGUUUGCCUUUGGAUGGGAAAACCCUACCACAGGAGCAAACGAACAAUUCACUUGGACUAGACUGCCGCAAGGAUUAAAAAAUCCACCAGCCUUAUUCAGUGGGGCACCGGCAUCUGACUUAGCCAGGUUCCUGGGACGGGACCUAGGAUGUGUCCUCCUCCGGUACGUGGACAAUCUCCUGCCAGCCAGUCCCAGGCGGACCCAGUGCUGAGAGGGAACCAGGGCCCCACUCAGGCCGCUGGCAGAGGUGGGAUACCGGGUGUCAAAGAAAAAGGCACAGAUUUGCCCGUAGGCAGUUAAAUAUUUGGGCUUCAGAAUUACUCAAGGCAAACGGAUGCUGCGAGCCGAAAGGAAACAGGCAGUCUGUGCCAUCCGGUUCCCACUCCUCACUAGCAGGUCCAAGAGUUCCUGGGAGCAGCAGGAUUCUGUCGGAUAUGGAUCCCAGGGUUCUCGGAGUUGGCCAGACCUCUCUAUGAGGCACCAAAGGGGGAAGAAAGGGCACCCCUUUUCUGGGGCCCUCAUGAAGAAAAGGUAUUUUAAAACCAUAAAAACAAAACUCGCAGAGGCCCCGGCCCUGGGACCUCCAGAUGUAUCACGAGAUUUCAGUCUGUUCGUACGUGAAAGCAGUGGGGUGGCCCUGGGGGUUCUCACCCAGGACUUUGGAGCUUGACAAAGACCAGUGGCAUAUCUUUCAAAGCAGAUUAACUCAGCUGUGGGAGGACGGCCACCCUGUCUGAGGGCCCUGGCAGCCACCGCACUUGUGAUCAAGGAAGCAGGCACACUCAUGUUGGGGCAAGACCUAAGCUCUGAGGUUUCCCGUGCUGUUAUUACCGUGAUAGAUGCCGGAGGGCAACGCUGGCUGACACGUGCUCGGAUGACAGUGUCGGGGAGCGCUGUGUGGUCCCACGAAUCAGAUCGGAAGCCGUAGAAACUAAACCCUGCCACUUUCUUGCCUGCAGCGGCAGGGCCCCCAGAGCAUGAUUGUCUAGGGGUCCUUGAUGGAGUCUUUUCCAGCCGAUCCGACCUAUCAGACAGACCCUUACAAAAUCCUAAUCUCACCCUGUACACCGACGGCAGCAGCUUCGUGAACGCCGGUUACACAGGAGUCUCUGAUUUCGAGGUCACAGAAGCAGAGGCCCUUCCACAAGGACGACCAGCUCAAAGAGCAGAACCGUGGGCCCUAAUGAGAGCACUAGAACUCAGGAAGGACAGACAGGCCAACAGACACGCUGACUUGCGCCAUGCCCUUGCCACUCUACCUGCACGUGGGGCCCUACACAAGGAGAAUGGACUUUUGACCACAGGAGGGAAAGAAAGAAAAAAUUGGGAAGAAAUCCUAAAACUACUGAGGGCAGUCUGGGAACCGAGGAAGGUAGCAGUCAUCCACUGCAGGGGACACCAAAGGGGAAAGGACUCUGUGUCGGAAGGUAACUGACGGGCGGACGCCGCAGCUAAACAAGCAGCGGGAGAAUGAACGGCACCCUCGAAAAUCACGCUGGCCCCGGAGCUGCCGGCUUCCCCAAGGUACACGAUCCAAGAGACAAAAUGGGCACAGCAGGAAACAGGAGGCCAGACGGAAGGGUGGUGGGUACUUGCGGACCAAAGAGUCUGUGUACUGGAGCCGCUAGCCCGCCAGGUGGUUCCCAGCAGCCUGAGCUCCCCCACCCGGGAAGAACCGCCCUUGAAACCUUAUCGGGCUGUUACUAUGUAAUCGCUUGGCUCCCGUCCUUCUGUGCCUCGGUCUCUCAACGCUGCCUCCUCUGUGCUCAAAAUAACACCAGACAGGGCCCCACUGGACCCGUGGGAAUCCAUUGCUGCGGUCAGGCACCCUUCAAAGAUUUGGAGGUAGGCUUUACCGAAAUGAGAACCGGCGGAGGAUACGAAUUUCUUCUAUUCAUCUGCACGUUUCCGGGCUGGGCGGAGGCCUACCCCACACGCACCGAAAAGGCAAGAGUAGUAACCAAGGCCUUGCUAAGGGAUAUCAUCCCCAGACGUGGAAUGCCGUGAACCAUGGGCUCAGACAGGGGCCCGGCUUUUGUGGCCGAGGUGAUGCCUAAAGUAUCCCUGGGCAUCCGAUAGAAUUUACACGCAGCCUACCAGCCCGAGUUCAGAGAAAGUGGAACGUAUGGAACCGGACCCUUAAAUCAGCCAUGGCAAAACUGCGUCAGGAAACUAAUUUGCCAGACAUACGACCUCUGUCUAGCUCUUCUCCAAAUACGCUGUACACCCCGGGCAAAAAUCGGAUCCUCCCCAUUCGAUACCCUCUCUGGAAGAUCCCCUCCACUAGUCAAAUUCAAGGGGGACCUGACAGAACUAGGGAAACAAGAAUUAGGGAAAACUAUUUGGGAUACACACAUGGUGACGGACAGGAUACCUAUUUCCCGUGGGAUAGCUGUACAUCCCACAAACCUGGGGAUCCGGUUUGGAGUAAAGAUAAGAAAAGGAAACCACUCAAACCUACCUGGAAGGAACCCUAUUUCGUUGUGCUAACCACGCCCACGGCCCUCAAGCUCGCAGGACUAACCGCCUGGAUCCACCAUUCUCGAGUAAAGGCGGCCCGCCCGUCGCCUGACAACCACUUGGAAUGGAAAGGAACUGCGCGAGCCAGAACAGUCCUCUACAGACCACCCUUAAGAGCACAGCGCCGAUAAGCGGCCUGCAGCCGACCCCUGAGGGCUCUGGGUAAGCAGAAGCUUGAGGAAAUCACCAAGCGACCUCAGUGACCUCCAGCACCUCGUUCUCGAAUUUCCCUGUCAUCCCCUGCCCGUUUCUUUUGCCAUGCUUGUCGCCAUGCUGUCUGCUUAGGGCUGACCCAAGUUACUCCACAGACGGGCGCCUCAGUCACUGACUCCUGUUAGCCUCCCUCUGCUCACUAGUGUCAGGAUGCCUCGUUCUCCUUAGGUGUGCACGAUCUGAGUUGUGAUAGAUGUCCUCUGCACGUUGUUCUCUGCCUUUAGAACCGUCUCACAGCCCCGGAAGGGCUGGCCCUGUCUCCCGUCCCCGUGGCGCAUAUCCCUGUUCCUAACCUGCUCAGAAAGAGUCUGCUCUCUCCCGUCAUGCAGAUGUGUGACCUGUCACUCCCCGCCUGUCCCCCAAGGCCCGAAGAGCCACUCUGUGCUCCCCACCCCUGGACCCCAUCUGUCGUCAUGAGGGCCAGACUUCUGUAACAGACGCAUGGGGUUGCACUGCCUGCUACCCCACUCGGCCUCCUACAGAGGCCACUCCUUUCCCUGUGCCCUUCCCGACUCCUGCUCCAACCCUCCGGUUCUCAGAGGUCAGACGACACUACCACGUGUCCCUGUGCCACCGUGUACCCCCACGUGCCGGACAGAUGUUAUACCAGGAGGGUCACUCCCUGUACCAGAAGCAGGAAAACUUACUGGACGGGAAAAAUGAAAAUGAGACGUUACUGGGGGCUGCCUGAUCCGACCUGCCCUGAUGCUCCCCUUGCCUGUUGGGUCAUCCUCCGUGGGAACAUAAAUCAGGUAGACCACUUGUCUUAGAUCCCCGACUGGACCAGAUGUUAAACGCAGCUCAUCGCCUCCUCAGUGCUACCAAUCCUGCCGGCUCUGCUUGUCCGCGGGACCCACCCGUUAGGCAGCUAGUCCGAUAACACAGGCCCCUGUAAAUGUUACCCUGCUACCAAAAGACCCAGAGCCCUGCACGGUGAGACCUAUACCAACUGGAGUCGAACUGCCCCCAGUGGCUCCCAGUUGCCUGACAGACAAGAGGGGAACAGAGCCAUUUGGCAUUCUGACCGCUGGCCAGUGCAACCAAAGUCUUGACAGUCAGGAGCUCAGUCAUCUUCCUACGAGCCAAGCCUGGUGUCGACCCCUCCCAGGGCUUCUCUUUAUCUGUGGGACGGACGCCUCCCUAUGUCUGCCAGCUGACUGGACGGGCACUGUACCCUGGCCUUCCUCCUCGUAAGAUAAACGUUGUUCCCAACAAUCAGUCUCUUAGAGUACCCGUGGCAGCACAUACUCGCUCAAAAAGAGCCACCCAAGUCAUCCCCCUGCUGAUUGCCUUAGGGAUGCGGCAGGGGUGGGCACUGGAGUAGGAGGAACCGCGUCCUCACCCACUUACUGCCAUGAAUUGUCCAGGGACCUAACAGACGGCACAGAACGGGUUAUCAAACCUCUGGUGGUGUUACAAGCCCAAGUAGACUCCCUAGCAGCGGUAGUCUUACGGAACAGAAGAGGGCUGGGCCUCCCACUGCUGAAAGGGGAGGACUGUGUCUCUUCCUGAACAAAGACUGCUGCUUCUGUGUCAGCCAGUCAGGGACAGUCGGAGGUAUGGUCCACAGGUUAAGGGAGCGAAUCACCAAACGAGGCAGGAACAGUUCCUCCUGGAACUGUUGGAGGAACAUGUAGAAUUGGGCGUCCUGGCUCCUCCCUUAGCUGGUCCUCUCCUGGUGCUUGUCACAGCCCUCCUGUUUGGUCCUUGUGUUCUUACUACGCUAACCAGGUUUGUUUCCUCCCGCCUGGAAGCUGUAACACUCCAGAUGGACCGUUCUAGCUGUCGCUACUCUCCUUUGGAUGGCGAAGAACCCUGGCUGUCACUUUCCUCCCCUCGACAUCCGUGUCCAGGGGGAAGAAGCCAGAACGGCCUUUGCCCCUCCCCCCGUGGCAGCAAAGGGCCCCCUGGCCCCCACGAACUGAUUUUCUCUAAGCCUGCUACAGCAGCUUGAGAAUCAAGAGCGGGGAAUGAGAAGGAAAAUUGGUGGGAGCAGAUAAAAAAGGGCCAGCCAGGUGUCCGAGGCCGGAUUCUCCCCCUGUAGGCUUGCGGCUUCUGUAAUCUUGCCCCUUACGGCAGCCAGCAGCCAGGAACCAGAAGCUUGACUGUCCUAGUCCCGCCCAACCCGGAAGCACAUAUGUAUAAAGGGUCAGUAAAACCCGAGUCCGGGUGCUCAGCCUUUGGAGGUGACUCCGCUGGGCCAGCACCGGUGCGAAAUAAACAGUCUUUUCUGUCCCCGAGUGUGUAUCGCUGGUCUCUUCCUGGGCGCCGAGUUCUUGCUGUAACAUGAGGAACUGAUGAGAGAUGUUUCUUAAGGAUUUGUGAACAGGUGGUUGACGGAAGCAUCAUAUGCAACAGUAAAAAGAAUGAAUAUCCAGUAUCAGAGGACGGGCCUUGGGUCACUUACACAAUGGAAUGUUAUAUCGUAUUAGUAAUCAUAUUAUGGAUGAAUAGUUUACGGACAUGGGCGAUACCAAAAUGUGUUACAUUUAAUAAGCGGAUUGGGGCACCUGGGUGGCUCUGUUGGUUGAGCAUCCGACUUCAUUUUGGCUCAGAUCGUGAUCCCAGGGUCGGGAGAUCGAGCCCCACAUCAGGGUCUGUGCUCAGUGUGGAGCCUGCUUGAGAUUCUCUCUCUCUCUCCCCCCUCCCCCCUCCCCCCUCCCCCUCUCCCUUCUCCCCUCCCCCUUCUCCCCUCCCCCUUCUCCCCUCUCCCCUCUCCCCUCUCCUGCCCCUACCCAGCUUGUACUCACUGGUUUGAGCACUCUCUCUCUAAAUAAAAUAAUAAAGGUAAAAAGCAGAUUAAAAUAAUGUAGUAGUAUGAUAGAAAUAAUACAGAAAGGGAAAAACAGAAUUUGUAGCCUGCUCUAUUAAGUACAAAUUUGUAAACUGUUUGAUUUCAUUAAUUCAUUCAACAAAAUACACUGACGAUGUAACAGUAACAGGUUAAAAAUGUAAUUUACAGUGCGCCUGACUGGCCUGAUGGAGGGUGCAACUCUUGAUCUCAGGGUUGUGGGUUUGAGACCCACAUUGGGUCUCUUUAUUUAUUCAUUUAUGUAUUUUGGUUUCAGGGGUAGAAUUCGGUGAUUCAUCCCAACGGGUGCCCUCCUGAAUCCCCGUCACCUGUUCAGCCCAUCCCCUACCCACCUCCCUCCUUCAACCCUCAGUUUGUUCUCUCUUUAAGAGUCUCUUAUGGUUUGUUUCCCUCUCUUUUUUCUUGUUCUUUCCCCCAGCCACGUGUUCAUCUGUUUUGUUUGUUAAAUUUCACAUACGAGUGAAAAUAUACGGUAUUUGUCUUUCUCUGACUUACUUGCUUAGCGUAAUACACUGUAGUCCCAUCCACGUCAUUGGGAAUGGCAGGGUUUCAUUUUUUUUUUUUUGUCAAAAUAGUAUUUAUUUAUUUGUAAAUGUUUAUUUUGAGAGAGAGGGAGAGGGAGUGCGAGGGCCUGAACAGGGAAGGGCAGAGAGAGAAUCCCACACCGUCAGCACAGAGCUCCACGCAGGGCUUGGUCCCAUGACCCUCAGAUCGUGACCUGAGCUGAAGUCAAGAGUUGGAUGCUCAACCACCUGAGCCACCCAGGUGCCUCAAGGUGUCAUUCUUUGGGAUGGCUGAGUAAUAUUCCAUCGUGUAUAUAUCACAUCUUUAUCCGUUUAUCAGUCGAUGGACAUUUGGGCUCUUUUCAUAGCUCGGCUGCUGUCGAACAGCCUCGCUCUCCAUUGGCAAAUUUAAAACGAGAGCGGGAAUGAGGGCGCGGGAAGAGAGAAGUAGGGUCAUUCAAGUGGUUGUCUAGCUCACCCAGAGCUUCAGACAAGGGGAGCGGCCCGGCCCCUUGUCUAGUUGUUAACUAGUAGGUUUGUGUUGCGGCUGCUGGCGGUAUGUUUGUUCCAGACGGAUGUCUUUGAAAUGGACGCUUCUGCGACCCAAAGCUUCGUGUCAGGGACUCGUGUUACAAAUACACACGCUGGCCUCUGCCCCCAGUGCCUGACCCUGGGCUCCUUAAUCCCUUGGAAUUUCCUGGGUGGCCGGAGUGUCUUCUAGUUUGAGGAGGCGGCUCUUGGUGGGCUCCGGAUAGCUCCCGGGCGAAGGCUGGUCACUAGAAAGACCAAACCAAGAUUAGAAGCUUGCAACCUCCAGCGCCGUCCUCCAGGGGGCGCAGAGGGGCUGGAGAUGGAGUUGAGCACCAGUCACGCCCACGUGAUGGGUCUCCAUGAACAUCCCUAAGGCGUGGGGAUCCGAGGCCUUCCAGGUUGGUGAACACAUCCACGUGCCGGGAGAGUGGCGCGCCCCCACGCCACGACACGGUGGCUCCCGCGUUCGGGAUCCUUCCUGGCUUUGCCCCGUGCCCCCCUCAUCUGGCUGUUCCCUGGAUCCUUUAUUACAUAAUAAACUGGUAAACAUAAGUGUUCCCUUGAGUUUUGUGAGCGAUCCUAGCAAAUUCUUGAACCCGAGGAGGGGAUCCCGGGAGUCCUGGAUUUGUAGCCAGGUCGGGCAGAAGUGUGGGUGAUGAGGACCCACCGCCUGGGAUUGGCGUCUCUGAAGUGGGGGGAUCUCAUGGGGCCGAGCCCUGGCCCUCUGGGGUCUGUGCUAACUCCAGUUGGCGUCUGCAUUGAGUGAAAUUGGAGGACACCCAGCUGGUGUCCACAGAAAAGGAGAAUCGCGUGAUGAACAAAAUCCUACAUAGCCGGGACCAGACAGCACUUUGCGUCUACAGACAGCUGGUUUUUCCUCUCCAGUUGGAUGUGGGCGGGAGGCACGGGGCGAGUCAGGGACGGUCCGAGCCAUGCGGCUGGAGCGCCCAGGGGGAUGGUGCUGUUCUCUAAGAUGGGGACCCCGGGGGUCGGGGUUCCAGGGAAUCUCAAGGUCCCCUACUUGUCCUCAGCACCCAGACUUGGGCUGUGGCAGGCUGCCUCGUGUCUCACCAGGCGUGCUGGGCCUCCCUUCACCCCAGCCCCCAACCCGGAUGGGUGUCCCCAUCCCAGCCACCGACCUAGGCCCUAGAGCUGUGUGUCCUCCUGGCUGGAGAAACCACACUGACUUACCCAGAAGCCAUCAGUCAGCCGUAACCAGCAGCCAUGCACUGCCCCGGGGGGUGAGGGGGAGGAGGAACGUAGUCGGAGGUGGCUCUCCACCCCGCGGGGGAGGCCGGGGCUGGUUUUCCGUGCUUCCUCUCCGCAGGCAUGACGUGGCUACGCGGGUCACCUGGGGGGCUAGUCACGGCUUGGUAGGAAACCCCCAAAGGAAGGGCUAGGAGCACCUGUUAGUCCCAGCUCUGUUACUGGAUCUUGUGCAGCAUUCACUUCCUUUCCGUGAGUCCUUGGCCAUGACUUCUGACCUCGAGACUGAGGUCCUGCCCUCUCUUCUUGGGCCAUGAGUCACUCCUACAUCACCACGAGUACUGGAAGCUGCCCAGCCUGGCGAUGGGCACCCAGCGAGUCAGCUCAGCCAGCUUGCCCGUUGCCCUCUGUCCUCCUUCCCAGCAGGCUCCUCUGGGCCCGGCCCUCCCCAGCCCAGAGCUCCCCUCUGCUUCCUGGUGGCGGAGAAGUGCCCAGCCCUUCUCGGCUGGUCUCUGUCUCGGUGUCGUGGUCAGAACAGGUUCCAGUGGGUCCCAGGUGGGAGGGGGAGGGAUGCCGGAGUGCUGGGGAGUCCGGCUCUAUUAUGAGCUGGUAAGGUGGUGGAUGACGCUCAGGGACAUGCAGGGCAGAACUUCACAGUGGGCCGUCCGGGAGCGGGGGAAGGCCUGUUUUGUGGCCUUUGGUGGUAUGUCCAUUGUCCCGUCGUGCACGGCUGGUCUCAGGACACUGCUGUGAUGUGAGCUCUUGCCAACUUCCCACCAGCUUCACCAUCAGCUCCUGCUAGCUAGUCGGAGCCCUUGUUAACACAUCCCCGUGGUAAACGUUCAAUUGAUUUUUUUAAAUAGGCUCCGUGUUCAACGUGAGACUUGAACUCGGGACCCUGAGAUCAAGAGUCGCACGCUCUACAGACUGAGCCAGCCAGGCGUCCC